GGUUUCAUGUUGAAGUUGGUUAUCACAUCAGUCUAACACACUUAAGAUCUUUGGUUCAAGUCCGGGCGAAGCCA
rfam:Ipomoea nil DNA, scaffold: scaffold1570, cultivar: Tokyo-kokei standard.